CUCAGAUUGAACGCUGGCGGCAUGCCUUACACAUGCAAGUCGAACGGCAGCACGGGAGCUUGCUCCUGGUGGCGAGUGGCGAACGGGUGAGUAAUACAUCGGAACGUACCCUGAAGUGGGGGAUAACGUAGCGAAAGUUACGCUAAUACCGCAUAUUCUGUGAGCAGGAAAGAGGGGGAUCGCAAGACCUCUUGCUUUAGGAGCGGCCGAUGUCGGAUUAGCUAGUUGGUGAGGUAAAGGCUCACCAAGGCGACGAUCCGUAGCGGGUCUGAGAGGAUGAUCCGCCACACUGGGACUGAGACACGGCCCAGACUCCUACGGGAGGCAGCAGUGGGGAAUUUUGGACAAUGGGCGCAAGCCUGAUCCAGCCAUGCCGCGUGAGUGAAGAAGGCCUUCGGGUUGUAAAGCUCUUUCGGUGGGGAAGAAAUUGCACAGGAUAAUACCUUGCGUAGAUGACGGUACCCGCAUAAGAAGCACCGGCUAACUACGUG
rnacentral:rRNA from 1 species